GGCGGGUUGCCUGAGAGGCUGAAAAGGACUCAGCUUACAACUGAGUGAAACUCAACAGGGCUUUCGGGAGUUCGAAUCUCCCACCCGCCGC
rnacentral:tRNA from 1 species